UGAUGUGGAUUAAUUCGAUGCAACGCGAAAAACCUUACCUACCCUUGACAUGUACGGAACCCUGCUGAGAGGUGGGGGUGCUCGAAAGAGAGCCGUAACACAGGUGCUGCAUGGCUGUCGUCAGCUCGUGUCGUGAGAUGUUGGGUUAAGUCCCGCAACGAGCGCAACCCUUGUCAUUAGUUGCUACGCAAGAGCACUCUAAUGAGACUGCCGGUGACAAACCGGAGGAAGGUGGGGAUGACGUCAAGUCCUCAUGGCCCUUAUGGGUAGGGCUUCACACGUCAUACAAUGGUCGGUACAGAGGGUUGCCAAGCCGCGAGGUGGAGCCAAUCCCAGAAAGCCGAUCGUAGUCCGGAUCGCAGUCUGCAACUCGAGUGCAUGAAGGUGGAAUCGCUAGUAAUCGAGGAUCAGCAUGCCUCGGUGAAUACGUUCCCGGGCCUU
rnacentral:rRNA from 1 species